AUUGAACGCUGGCGGCAUGCCUUACACAUGCAAGUCGAACGGCAGCGCGGGAGCAAUCCUGGCGGCGAGUGGCGAACGGGCGAGUAAUAUAUCGGAACGUGCCCCGUAGUGGGGGAUAGCCCGGCGAAAGCCGGAUUAAUACCGCAUACGACCUGAGGGUGAAAGGGGGGGAUCGCAAGACCUCGCGGUAUUGGAGCGGCCGAUAUCAGAUUAGGUAGUUGGUGGGGUAAAGGCCUACCAAGCCUGCGAUCCGUAGUUGGUCUGAGAGGACGACCAGCCACACUGGGACUGAGACACGGCCCAGACUCCUACGGGAGGCAGCAGUGGGGAAUUUUGGACAAUGGGCGCAAGCCUGAUCCAGCAAUGCCGCGUGCAGGAAGAAGGCCUUCGGGUUGUGAACCGCUUUUGUCAGGGAAGAAAUCCCCUAGGCUAAUACCUUGGGGGGAUGACGGUACCUGAAGAAUAAGCACCGGCUAACUACGUGCCAGCCGCCGCGGUAA
rnacentral:rRNA from 1 species